AAAAAGGACUUCUUUGAGUCCACCUUCUUUUUUUAACAAUUUAUUU
rfam:Erinaceus europaeus unplaced genomic scaffold scaffold00081, whole genome shotgun sequence